GCCGGGCAUGGUGGUGCACGCCUGUAAUCCCAGCUACUCAGGAGGCUGAGGCAGGAGGAUCACUUGAACCCAGGAGGCGGAGGCUGCAGUGAGGCGAGAUCACACCACUGCCGUCCGGCCUGGGAAACAGAGCGAGACCCUGUCUCAC
rnacentral:SRP_RNA from 1 species